AAUCAACGCUGGCGGCGUGCCUAACACAUGCAAGUCGAACGCUGAUUGUAGCAAUACAGUCAGAGUGGCGUCCGGGUGAGUAACACGUGGAUAAUCUACCUUCAGGUGGGGAUAACUUUCCGAAGGGGAGGCUAAUACCGCAUAACAUCAAUUGGGGGCGAUCCUUGAUUGAUCAAAGUGGGGGACCGGCAAGGCCUCACGCCAGAAGAGGAGUCCGCGGCCGAUAGCUAGUUGGCGGGGUAAUGGCCCACCAAGGCGACGAUCGGUAGCCGGCCUGAGAGGGUGGUCGGCCACACUGGCACUGAAACACGGGCCAGACUCCUACGGGAGGCAGCAGUGGGGAAUUUUGGGCAAUGGCCGCAAGGCUGACCCAGCAACGCCGCGUGAGGGAUGAAAUCCUUCGGGAUGUAAACC
rnacentral:rRNA from 1 species